AAUUUUCCCAAUAAUUUCCAAAGUAUACCCCAUGAUGUAUCAAUUUAGCUAAUUGUGAGCUACUUCGCUCUCGAGAUUUUGUCUUGAAGUGUGAGUCGUAUUGAACGAACUUUGUCGAAGCUGAUCUGAGGGAGAUUUGCAAUUUGAGUCGUUAUCGUAUCUAAUACUGGUUUUUAAUGAGAAAGUGUUUACAAAAUGAAACCCAUUUAGUAAAAGUGGCAAAUUAUCUACUAUUUCUUCAUCUUUUCAAAGUUAAAUAAUAAAAGUUUC
ensembl:ncRNA F26E4.16 ncRNA